GAAAAAAAGCCACAACGGUCUCAAAAUCACUUCGUUUUAUUUUUAUUUCUUGAGCCGAUCUAUAUGCAAAAUGAAAGAAUGCACUAGCUUUACUUCGUCUGUGAACCAACUCGGUUCGAAGUGUUUUUCUUAAUCAACUCUGCUUAGCCAAAAGUGUUUUUCUGCAAAAUCAAUCCCAUGUACAGAAAGAUUUAAGCAGUAUUAUUUUCCUUGCUAUUUUUGUGUUAAAUAUAUUUAAUAUUAGGGAUUUAAAAACCGCAGAGAGAGAGGAAGAUAUUAGCUUCUAUGGUGGUUUUGUAGGUAAGAUUAUCUUCUCGUAAUUACCUUUAUUGUUUCUUACAAACUUUGAAGGCUCUUCAUUUAUGGUUGGCAAAGCUUUGGCUUCUGUUUACUGGGGGACUAGUGCCUGAUCCGCUAUGGUCAAAAACCUGUGACAAACAGGGACUAUCUCAGUGUUAGCGUAUACUAUUUUGCCACUUGGAUGCAGUUCAUUAUGUGAAACUUACUCUGGAUUAUGUACAAUUCAGAACUAUACAUUUCUGAAACAAUCUUCGUUGUUCAUCUCUUAGGGUAAUUUUCAACACUCUUUUUGGCCUUAGUGUAAACUUUUGGAUGACCAUUGUUACAAUGUUUCUUCAUGGAAGCUUGAAUAGUUUACUUGGGCCAAUCAAGGUACCAUAGUGUUCUGUAAUCAUAAUUGAUGGUUCCUCUACUGCUUCUCCUCUCUAGUAUUUUUUUAAUUUUUAAUUUUUUGAGUUUGGUAAUUGCUGAAGUGCUUCUAAGAUUUUACAAUUAAAGGAAAUAGCAAACCAACAUAUUCCGUGGUGAAAAACAUAAAAUAGUUAAACUUUUCUAAAAAUUUUCACACUUUGAAAGAAUUUCCGGUAUAUUGAUUGCGUGUGUAUCUCUAUCUUCCCUUUUUAUGCUUGCAAGUAUUAGCUUGAUGUUUCUGGACCAUCUUGUUAUUCAGCCAGCAGAGAAGUAUCCAAAUAUGUUUUGAAAAAAGUUCAUAGUUUGGAAGGUAAGGUUUGUUUUCGCAUUUCUUCCAAUAAUAGAUACGCCAUUGAAUUUUCUACUUACACCUUAAGUUCCUGACAUCUUAUCAAAUUCCAGGGGGCUUCUUGUCUUCCAUAGUUUGCUCUAUCCGCUUAUGGAAAUGAUGAUAUGUGACAUGGUGGCUGCUCUGCUCUCAUUGCAGGGUGUAGCUGCUUGUAGCAUCUGUAUAUUUCCUAUUACAUUCUUCGCUGAUUUUAGGUUAACUUUUCAUAUACAGGUUUUAUCUAUACUUUUGUUGACAAGUUACACCCAUAUAACUUGAUAAUUACUGCCGAGUCUACCCAACUUUGAUAUCAUGACUUAAAAACUAUUUUUGCUUUUUUCUUUUACGAGUGUAUAGAUUUUUUGUUUAUAUAGUUUACAGUCGACAGAAAACAUGAUCAUAAUAGGUUUCAAAAGCUAGAUAGUAGUUUUGGGAAGAUGUUGAAUUUUAGUCAUUGAUGAUUUCAUCCCUUUGUUAAUUUCUUUAAUUCAAAAUCCUUUUUCUGUCAUUACAUGCUAAUACGUCCUGUUUGAAACUUGAAACAUUUGUUGCACAUCACCUUCUUGAAGUCAAGUGCAUUAUAAGGUAAGAUAGAGCAAGCUAUUGUGCUUCCUAAACAGCUUCACCUGUUUCUAGUAUAAUCAGCUACAAAGAUCCUAUCCAUUUUUGUAUCUUCUGUAAAAAAUGAAUGGAGUUUGCAGGCAUAGGCAUCUACCAAAACCAAUAUUCAAGGCGGCUGCUCUCAGAUGAACCAUGACUGAAGCUCAGAGAAGAAAAGAAGAAAGGAGCAAAAAACACAGCACCCCAGGUAGUAUUACCAUAGGGCCACUACGUAAAAUGAGAAUCCUAAAAGUAGUUGAGUGAGUUAUGGACAGAUUCAUGAGGGGUUGUGCAUUUUGUUUUUGUUGCCAAAUUGUGUAUUUCUAAUUUUUUAUUAAUAGUUCAAUGAAACCGCAUCAUAGGUUUAAUUUUUA